GAUGAACGCUGGCGGCGUGCCUAAUACAUGCAAGUCGAGCGAACAGAUGAGGAGCUUGCUCCUCUGACGUUAGCGGCGGACGGGUGAGUAACACGUGGAUAACCUACCUAUAAGACUGGGAUAACUUCGGGAAACCGGAGCUAAUACCGGAUAAUAUAUUGAACCGCAUGGUUCAAUAGUGAAAGACGGUUUUGCUGUCACUUAUAGAUGGAUCCGCGCCGCAUUAGCUAGUUGGUAAGGUAACGGCUUACCAAGGCAACGAUGCGUAGCCGACCUGAGAGGGGGAGCGGAAACAGGGGAACUGAGACACGAUCCAGAGACCGACGGGAGGAAGAAGGAGGAAUGCUUCCGGAAGGGGCGAAAGCCUGAAAGCGCAACGAGGCGGGAGUAAUGAAGGGCUACGGAUCGUAGAACGCUGUUAUGAGGGAAGAACAAAUGGGUACGUCUAUAUGCACGUCUGGAGGGGACUAAUAGAGAAAGCAGCGGCUAACUACGU
rnacentral:rRNA from 1 species